rnacentral:rRNA from 1 species
UAAUUUAAAGUCUAGCCUGCCCAAUGAUAAUUUUAAUGGCCGCAGUAUUUUGACUGUGCAAAGGUAGCAUAAUCAUUAGUUUCUUAAUUAGGAACUGGAAUGAAAGGUUGAACGAAAAAAUGACUGUCUCUUUAUAAUUUUUUUAGAAUUUUAUUUUUAAGUUAAAAAGCUUAAAUAAAUUUGAAAGACGAGAAGACCCUAUAGAGUUUUAUAUUUAAUUAAUUAAAUUUUAAAAAUUGAAUUAUUGUUAUUUUAUUAAUAUAAAUAUUUAAUUGGGGUGAUUGAAAAAUUUAAUUAACUUUUUUUUUAUUUAACCAUAAAUAAAUGAUUAAUUGAUCCAUUAUUAAUGAUUAUAAGAUUAAAUUACCUUAGGGAUAACAGCGUAAUUUUUUUUAAGAGUUCUUAUCGAUAAAAAAGUUUGCGACCUCGAUGUUGGAUUAAAAUAAAUUUUUGGUGUAGAAGCUAAAUAAUUAGGUCUGUUCGACCUUUAAAAUUUU